GUUAGUGGGUUUGGUUUUGGGUAUUUGAAUCUGGGCCUUUUGUGUUGAAGGUGAUUGGAGGAGAAAUGUGGGAUAUGGGAGAUGAUAAUGUGAGAGAGAUAUGAGAUGGGUUUUGUCCUUUCAAGGGAAUGACCUUUUCCUUUCUGUGAUUUUGAAAAAAAAAAACCCUGAUCUUUUUUGAUUUGGAGAAGUAGCGGGGUGCCAUUUGGAGGAGAAGGGAGUGUUGAAAGUUGUUGAAUUGAUUGGAAAAUGCCACUAUGCGAGUUUCCACUCUCCAUUUUCUCAAGACUUGUAAAAAAAGUUCAUUCUAGGGUGAAUUUCAGUGCGAUUACCGGUUUUUGGGGAAAUGACGAAAGAAUAGUGAUAUUUUCAGGAAUAAACGACCAGAAUUUACUGCAUGGUUGGCUGAAAUAAAACAGGUGAACCUGGAGAGUCUGCCUAACUGGGAGGAGAAGCAGGUGUUCUAAGAAUUUAUGGAGGACCAUAACACAGCUACCUUUCCUUCCAAAAAAAAAGCAAAAAUCUUUUAUCCCCAUAUUUGCUACUCAUUUUGAUAUGACGACCAGUAUGAUGCACAUGAACAUAUUCUGAAGACCAAAGAUGGAAAGGGAAGUGAAAAAAGGUUCCAAGAAAGCUCUGGAAACUGAACGUACUGUAUUCAAUGAUGAAGAACAACAAUGGUUAGAACUGCUACGAGAACGUGAAAGAUACAAGGAAGAACAAGUGGAGGAAUUAAAACACUCUAUGCAGAGUGGAAUGUUUAGUUUUUACUUCAAUAUUCCUCCAGGCUCCUGCUAUAAUUAUAUCUUGCUUCUGGCCCUUGAGGUCUGGCUCAAUGGUAAAGGGCUGGAGUGGGUUUAUGGGAGGUUCAGGUUUAAGUUCCAAUGUUAACAAGAAACGAAAACUAUAUUUUGCUUGUGAUAAAAGAAUCCACUGGCAAUUAUGAUUUCUCAUCUCUGUUAUUUCAUUUGAACUCCCAGGCACAGGCAAUGAAAGAGCAAGCUCAGCUCAGGGAAGAGAUGGCUUACCAGUACAAAGUUGGCAACUCUGAAGCUGCAGCUGCCAUCCAGAGAAGAUUGGACCCAGAUGUUGCUAUGUAAAAGAGCAGCUGGCCAUAGUCUUGGGAUGGUAAUUCCGUCAUGCUUGGAACACCUUGCAUUAGGAUGUAAUGUUUGUAUGGAUCCCUUCUGUUAGGCUUACUAAGGGGAUCUAUUUGGACUUCUUUCCUCCUAUAUAGAAAAUACAGCAGGGUUCAAACUUAUGUUCUAGGUGCGACUAUUUUGGUGCUCCUUUCCCAGUUUUGUUUGAACUGCUUCCGUGCCACAUGAAAUACUGAUUUCAAUUGCUCCUUCGGGCUUAACCUCUUAUUGGAAGAGAUAGUGUGUCGUAUUUUUUCUGGGUUCCACAGCAUGUUAAUUUGUCAUGACAUGUAACAUUGUUUGGUUGCCAAGAAAAUGAAGGUAAACGGAAGAAAUCGAAGUUCCAUAUAUAUAUGUGUGUAGAAAGACAUGGCAACUGGUGAUGUCCUUGUGAAAUAAAUUCAGCUUGUCCAUCUCUUCACAAGGCGGAUCUGUUUGGCUUGUUAGAACCCCAUCCCAUGUGUGGAAUACCAAUCAUUCUCUUACUUGUCUCUAUUGAUUAUUUGGAUAAUUGUUAGAUUCAUGCUUGAUGGAUUCUUUAUAGGUUGGGGAUUGUUUUAAAAUGUGAUGAAUCUGUCCUAACAUUUGAAUGAGAAAAAAGUACUAUUGUUGUUUGGUUGUGAUAGAAAAUAGGAAGGAAAAGAGAGAUUCAUUCA